rnacentral:lncRNA from 1 species
CUUCUCUCUAUCUAUAUUUCUUGUUCAUGUUUCACUAAGUUGCUUAUAUUUCUUGUUCAUGUUUUACUAAAUUGCUUUCAUUUUAUAACACGUUAUUAGCACGAGUCUCUAACCAUCACGGUAAGUUAUCUUCUUUUAAAGUUCUCGACUCUGAUUUAAAAUUAUCGGGUACACCAUGUUUCUCUUUUUUGUAAGAAUAAUGAUAUGUUUUGUUGGAUACUUAGUUUUUCUCAAUUAUGUUUCUAAACAAAAAUAGAAAGAGAAAGAUACUCAUACUUCACCA